GACGAACGCUGGCGGCGUGCCUAAUACAUGCAAGUAGAACGCACAGUUUAUACCGUAGCUUGCUACACCAUAGACUGUGAGUUGCGAACGGGUGAGUAACGCGUAGGUAACCUGCCUGGUAGCGGGGGAUAACUAUUGGAAACGAUAGCUAAUACCGCAUAAUAUUAAUUAUUGCAUGAUAAUUAAUUGAAAGGUGCAAUUGCACCACUACCAGAUGGACCUGCGUUGUAUUAGCUAGUAGGUGAGGUAACGGCUCACCUAGGCGACGAUACAUAGCCGACCUGAGAGGGUGAUCGGCCACACUGGGACUGAGACACGGCCCAGUCUCCUACGGGAGGCAGCAGUAGGGAAUCUUCGGCAAUGGACGAAAGUCUGACCGAGCAACGCCGCGUGAGUGAAGAAGGUUUUCGGAUCGUAAAGCUCUGUUGUAAGAGAAGAACGGGUGUGAGAGUGGAAAGUUCACACUGUGACGGUAUCUUACCAGAAAGGGACGGCUAACUACGUG
rnacentral:rRNA from 1 species